rnacentral:rRNA from 1 species
GACGAACGCUGGCGGCGUGCUUAACACAUGCAAGUCGAGCGAUGAAGUUCCUUCGGGAAUGGAUUAGCGGCGGACGGGUGAGUAACACGUGGGUAACCUGCCUCAUAGAGGGGAAUAGCCUUCCGAAAGGAAGAUUAAUACCGCAUAAGAUUGUAGUUUCGCAUGAAACAGCAAUUAAAGGAGCAAUCCGCUAUGAGAUGGACCCGCGUCGCAUUAGCUAGUUGGUGAGGUAACGGCUCACCAAGGCGACGAUGCGUAGCCGGCCUGAGAGGGUGAUCGGCCACAUUGGGACUGAGACACGGCCCAGACUCCUACGGGAGGCAGCAGUGGGGAAUAUUGCACAAUGGGGGAAACCCUGAUGCAGCAACGCCGCGUGAGUGAUGACGGUCUUCGGAUUGUAAAACUCUGUCUUCAGGGACGAUAAUGACGGUACCUGAGGAGGAAGCCACGGCUAACUACGUGCCAGCCGCCGCAGUAA